rnacentral:tRNA from 1 species
ACCUGGCUGGCCCAGUUGGUAGAGCACGGGACUCUUAAUCUCAGGGCCAUGAGUUCAAGUCCCAUGUUGGGUG